rfam:Ponticoccus sp. SJ5A-1 ZB100005, whole genome shotgun sequence.
GUCGGAAUUCCGGGGGUUGUAAUCCACGAAAGCGUAGCCACGCGACUGGUCGAUCGUGUGGAAGAGCGGGUUCCAGUCGAACAUGACCAGCAUCUUGGGCGGCAGCGUGUUGGCCACGAACAUCUUGCCCGAGGCGAUCAUGUUGGCGCGCUG